rnacentral:sRNA from 1 species
ACAGCCCCUAAGAUUGUGGAUUUUGUCAACGAAAAGGUUAACUCAGGCCAAGCCAGCGAAUUUAACUGUACAAUAGCAGCCUACCCAACACCAACAGACAGAGAUGUGAAUUUGAUUAGUGAGGACGGGAAAAGAUAUUCUCCCAAGUCCUACAAAGAUCUUGAAGGCUAUCUCUAUACCAGACAAUUCACUUUCUUGGCCAAAAACGUGAUGUACAAUGAAAAGUAUACUUGUUCUAUACAGUCCACUGCAGGAAGUAGUAAAAUGACCAAAGCAGCAAAUGUUUUUCAGCUACCAAGAUUAGUUUCCGCCCCUGCCAUCUAUCAUGUGAGUUCUUCAAACGCUACAGUUUUCUGGUAUCCGUGGAAUAAGAACAGAGGUGAUACCGGGGAUGAACCAGUGAUUAGCUAUCAUGUGUACAUAAAACAUAAACACGAGAACACGUACACACCAGCUGGACGUCUACUAUCGAGUCAAUGUGCUGAUAAAGUAGGCAUUGUCUUCUUU